GAACUUUCCCGUUUGCAAGGAGAGGGAGACAGGAGCUGAGGAUGGGGUGAUGGUGUCCUCUCCAGGAACGGGGGACCAGCCUGGCCGGUUCUGAAGCAGGACAGGGGCAGCAGUCUAGGUGCUGCACACGUACCUGAAAUGACAAACUGUGAAGCCAGGUUGGGGAGGGAGGACCAUGAGACCAGGAAGGAGACCAGGUGAAUGCUGCAGGCGCCUCAUUUAACCCUCGCCAGGACCCUCCGAGUCUGAACUCCAUCAACGCAAUGAGAGGGCUGAUCACAUUCACCUCCUAUCCCCAGGGCCUCGUCCAGACCCUGGCUUCAGCAGGUGCUCAAUAACUGGGGUGAAAGUGGACUAGACGCACGGCUGAAUAUCUCAACGAACACCUCUCUAAAAAUUGCGUUUGAAAAAUCCCAUGCGGACUCAUGCAGGGCCAUUCUUACUGACAGAAACCUUCAAAAGGCUGGAAACCCUUGUAUUCGUUUUCCGCUGUCGUCGUAAUAAAUUACCACAAAUUUACAAGCUUAAAACCACACA